ensembl:miRNA
GGUGGGAGGAUUGCUUGAGCCUGGAAGCUGGAGGUUGCAGUGAGCUGAGAUUGCACCGCUGCACUCCAGCCU